ensembl:miRNA
UCAGUGGUACUAUACCUCAGUUUUAUCAGGUGUUUGUUAAAACCACCUGAAAAGACCGAGGUUAUGUCUCACUGAACA